CGGAACGGGUGAGUAAUGCGCGACCAACCUGCCCCAUGCUCCAGAAUAGCUCUUGGAAACGGGUGGUAAUGCUGGAUGCUCCAACUUGACGCAUGUCUUGUUGGGAAAGUGUUUAGUGGCAUGGGAUGGGGUCGCGUCCUAUCAGCUUGUAGGCGGGGUAAUGGCCCACCUAGGCUUCGACGGGUAGCCGGCCUGAGAGGGCGGACGGCCACAUUGGGACUGAGAUACGGCCCAGACUCCUACGGGAGGCAGCAGCC
rnacentral:rRNA from 1 species